rnacentral:rRNA from 1 species
UACAGAGGUCCCGAGCGUUGUUCGGAUUCACUGGGCGUAAAGAGCGUGUAGGCGGCUCGAUAAGUCUGCUGUGAAAGUCCAGGGCUCAACCCUGGAAGGCCGGUGGAAACUGUCGGGCUAGAGUCCGGAAGAGGCGAGUGGAAUUCCCGGUGUAGCGGUGAAAUGCGCAGAUAUCGGGAGGAACACCAAUGGCGAAGGCAGCUCGCUGGGACGGUACUGACGCUGAGACGCGAAAGCGUGGGGAGCAAACAGG